rnacentral:rRNA from 1 species
AAGCAGGGGAUCGUAAGACCUUGCGCUUUUGGAGCGGCCGAUGUCUGAUUAGCUAGUUGGUGGGGUAAUGGCCUACCAAGGCUUCGAUCAGUAGCUGGUCUGAGAGGACGGCCAGCCACACUGGGACUGAGACACGGCCCAGACUCCUACGGGAGGCAGCAGUGGGGAAUUUUGGACAAUGGGCGAAACCCUGAUCCAGCCAUGCCGCGUGAGUGAAGAAGGCCUUCGGGUUGUAAAGCUCUUUCAGCCGGAAAGAAACGGUUACGAUUAAUACCUGUAACUAAUGACGGUACCGAAAGAAGAAGCACCGGCUAACUACGUGCCAGCAGCCGCGGUAAUACGUAGGGUGCGAGCGUUAAUCGGAAUUACUGGGCGUAAAGCGUGCGCAGGUGGUUUUGUAAGUCAGAUGUGAAAUCCCCGGGCUUAACCUGGGAACUGCGUUUGAAACUACAAAGCUAGAGU